rnacentral:rRNA from 1 species
AGACGGAGGGUGCAAGCGUUAAUCGGAAUUACUGGGCGUAAAGCGCUCGUAGGCGGCUUGUUAAGUCGGAUGUGAUAGCCCUGGGCUCAACCUGGGAACUGCAUUCGAUACUGGCAGGCUAGAGUAUAGUAGAGGCAAGUGGAAUUCCGGGUGUAGCGGUGAAAUGCGUAGAUAUCCGGAGGAACAUCAGUGGCGAAGGCGACUUGCUGGACUAAUACUGACGCUCAGGAGCGAAAGCGUGGGGAGCAAACGGGAUUAGAAACCCCGGUAGUCC